rnacentral:rRNA from 1 species
ACGAACGCUGGCGGCGUGCUUAACACAUGCAAGUCGAGCGGUAAGGCCCUUCGGGGUACACGAGCGGCGAACGGGUGAGUAACACGUGGGUGAUCUGCCUCGCACUCUGGGAUAAGCCUGGGAAACUGGGUCUAAUACCGGAUAUGACCAUUGACCGCAUGGUUGGUGGUGGAAAGAUUUAUCGGUGUGAGAUGAGCCCGCGGCCUAUCAGCUUGUUGGUGGGGUAAUGGCCUACCAAGGCGACGACGGGUAGCCGGCCUGAGAGGGUGAUCGGCCACACUGGGACUGAGACGCGGCCCAGACUCCUACGGGAGGCAGCAGUGGGGAAUAUUGCACAAUGGGCGGAAGCCUGAUGCAGCGACGCCGCGUGAGGGAUGACGGCCUUCGGGUUGUAAACCUCUUUCAGCGCUGACGAAGCCUUCGGGUGACGGUAGGCGCAGAAGAAGCACCGGCCAACUACGUGCCAGCAGCCGCGGUAAUACGUAGGGUGCGAGCGUUGUCCGGAAUUACUGGGCGUAAAGAGCUUGUAGGCGGUUUGUCGCGUCGAUCGUGAAAACUCGCAGCUCAACUGUGAGCGUGCGGUCGAUACGGGCAGGCUAGAGUUCUGCAGGGGAGACUGGAAUUCCUGGUGUAGCGGUGAAAUGCGCAGAUAUCAGGAGGAACACCGGUGGCGAAGGCGGGUCUCUGGGCAGUAACUGACGCUGAGAAGCGAAAGCGUGGGUAGCGAACAGGAUUAGAUACCCUGGUAGUCCACGCCGUAAACGGUGGGUACUAGGUGUGGGUUUCCUUCCACGGGAUCCGUGCCGUAGCUAACGCAUUAAGUACCCCGCCUGGGGAGUACGGCCGCAAGGCUAAAACUCAAAGGAAUUGACGGGGGCCCGCACAAGCGGCGGAGCAUGUGGAUUAAUUCGAUGCAACGCGAAGAACCUUACCUGGGUUUGACAUACACCGGUAACCUGCAGAGAUGUAGGCCCCCUUGUGGUCGGUGUACAGGUGGUGCAUGGCUGUCGUCAGCUCGUGUCGUGAGAUGUUGGGUUAAGUCCCGCAACGAGCGCAACCCUUAUCUUAUGUUGCCAGCGCGUUAUGGCGGGGACUCGUGAGAGACUGCCGGGGUCAACUCGGAGGAAGGUGGGGACGACGUCAAGUCAUCAUGCCCCUUAUGUCCAGGGCUUCACACAUGCUACAAUGGCUGGUACAGAGGGCUGCGAUACCGUGAGGUGGAGCGAAUCCCUUAAAGCCGGUCUCAGUUCGGAUCGGGGUCUGCAACUCGACCCCGUGAAGUUGGAGUCGCUAGUAAUCGCAGAUCAGCAACGCUGCGGUGAAUACGUUCCCGGGCCUUGUACACACCGC